UCGGUAGCACAAGGGAGCUUGCUCCCUGGGUGACGAGCGGCGGACGGGUGAGUAAUGUCUGGGAAACUGCCUGAUGGAGGGGGAUAAGUACUGGAAACGGUAGCUAAUACCGCAUAACGUCGCAAGACCAAAGAGGGGGACCUUCGGGCCUCUUGCCAUCAGAUGUGCCCAGAUGGGAUUAGCUAGUAGGUGGGGUAAUGGCUCACCUAGGCGACGAUCCCUAGCUGGUCUGAGAGGAUGACCAGCCACACUGGAACUGAGACACGGUCCAGACUCUUACGGGAGGCCCCCGUGGGGAAUAUUGCACAAUGGGCGCAAGCCUGAUGCAGCCAUGCCGCGUGUGAAGAAGGCCUUCGGGUUGUAAAGCACUUUCAGCGAGGAGGAAGGUGGUGAGCUUAAUACGUUCUUCAAUUGACGUUUCUGGCAGAAGAAGCACCGGCUAACUCCGUGCCAGCAGCCGCGGUAAUACGGAGGGUGCAAGCGUUAAUCGGAAUUACUGGGCGUAAAGCGCACGCAGGCGGUUUGUUAAGUCAGAUGUGAAAUCCCCGGGCUCAACCUGGGAACUGCAUUUGAAACUGGCAAGUUAGAGUCUUGUAGAGGGGGGUAGAAUUCCAGGCCAGACAUGAAAUGCUAGAGAUCGGGAGGAAUACCGGUGGCGAAGUCA
rnacentral:rRNA from 1 species